rnacentral:lncRNA from 10 species
AGUUUUGAAUUUUGUUUUGUAGAAACAGGGUUUUGCCACAUUACCCAGGCUGGUCUCAAAUCCUGGGCUCAAGAGAUCCAGCCACCUUGGCCUCCCAACGUGCUGGGAUUACAGGCGAGAGCCACCACACUGGGCCAAGAUGUUUUUUGGUUAAUAAAAAAGAAGGUUUGGUAUUGCCUAAAAAACUAAACACAGUGGUAUUUUAUACAUUGUUUAGUCAAACAGUAUUUUCUGUCUUCCUUUCAAACCAAUGUGAUUUUUUAAUGUGUUUUUCUCAUUAUUUGUCUUGUGAAAGAAUUCCCUCCUAUUUGAAGAAAAGAUAUAGUUUGAGGAGACAAGUAGUUAAUUUUGUCUUUUGUUUUAUUCAGUGUUAGUAACAUGAAUGACUCAGAUUCUGAAGGAAGAAAAAGAAUGACAAGUAAGUAAUCCUUUUGAUGUUCUCAACUUUAAGGAUUAUCACAUAAAAGCAAUGGUUUUUGAAAACCAAAAGCGAUGACUUAUGGUUUUGAGGCUGAGUUGCUUUGUUUUAAACUAGGAUUUUCCUUCCUUCCUUCCUUCCUUCCUUCCUUCCUUCCUUCCUUCCUUCCUUCCUUCCCUCCCUCCCUCCCUCCUUCCUUCCUUCCCUUCCUCCCUCCCUCCUUCCCUUCUUUCUCUCUCUCUCUCUCUUUCUUUCUUGAGACGGAGUCUUGCUCUGUCGCCCAGGCUGGAGUGCAGUGACGUGUUCUUGGCUCACUGCAAGCUCCGCCUCCCGUGUUCACGGCAUUCUCCUGCUUCAGCCUCUGGAGUAGCCGUGACUACAGGCACCCGCCACCGCGCCCGGCCUUAACUAGGAUUUUCUAGACUAUGUUCCAGGAGAAGUAGAAUUACUGCAUCACAGGGCACUUCAUUUUUAGAUUACGUAUCAUGGCGGCAGACCUUCAAUACCAAGGUGCAUCUUCUCCAGCAAGUUCUUCAGCAUCCUUUCCAGAAGCAUUCGGCAGCCGAGAAAGCAGGCUACACCUUACCUACUCCUUCCUGGGCUAAAGAUCUCAGACUUAGUUGCUUAUCUUAAUUUGGGGAAAAUAAAUUAAGGAGUUCUUCUAUCAUUAAGCACAACAUAAUAUAAUCUAUUUAAUAAAUUCUGAUCAUCCACAUUUUGAUGGCAAUCCCACAUUUGAAAAUAAUGAUUAUAUAUGCAAAUAUUUUUAGCCAGUUAAAUUGGAACUUAUUCUUUGAAACAUCAUGAUCAUUUUUGUUCUAAUCAGUAACUAUAAUGGAACAAUAAGGUGUUUUUGAUAAACCACAUGAGUUAUUUUCAUUGAUUAUCUUAUGACAGUUGUUAUCAAAAUGGAUUAUUACAUAUUUAUCUAGUAUUUGCUGUAAACUCAGCAGUUUGGAAUACAUCAGUAAGUAUUUAGUUUUAUUAUGCUACUAGAGUUUUUUUCCGUAUUAUAGAAUUUUCAAACAUUUACUAAGGUAGAUAAAAUUUUAAUAGUUUAAUGAACCUGGUUUACCAUUUAAUCAGCUUAUUAGUAAUCAAUACAUGGCCAAUUUCACUUCAUUUACACCUCCACACACUUCCCUCAUAUUCCUUGUUAUUGCCUUAAUUGAGAUAUAAUUUACAUGUCCUCAAUUAUGUUUUGGAAAAUGGAGACAUUGUUUCCUCUACAAAUAUUUCUGUAUGCCUCUCUAAAUAUUAAUGACUUAAAACACAAACAGACCCUGACACCAUAUGACCUUAGGACAAAUUAGCAAUAACUUCCUAAUGUAUAAAAUUAAAUAUCCAGUCAGUUUUCAAGGUUUCCCUAUUGUCUUGUAAAUUAUUAUCAUCUUCUUUAUUUUAUAGUUAUUUUAAUUGGGAUCCAAAUAAGGACUAUACAUUAAAAUUAGAUGAAAAUAUGUCUUGUUUCCUUUGAUAUCUUUGAGUAUAUCACCUACGUGUGUCACCUACAUCUUUUUUCACUUGCACUCUUUUGGUUUAUUUUGUUUUGAUUGAAGAAACCAGAUUAUUUAUCCUGUAGUAUUUUGACACUCUGCAUUUUUCGGAUUGCAUUUCGUGGUAUUUAUUAAACCUGUGAUAUAAUUUGAAUGUAUGCUCCAAAUCUCAUUGAUAUGGUUUGGCUCUAUGUCCCCACCCAAAUCUCAUCUUGAAUUUCGACCCCCAUGUGUGGAUGGAGGGACUUGGUGGGAGGUGAUUGGAUCAUGGGGGCCAUUCCCCCAUGCUGUUCUUGUGAUAGAGAGUUCUCAAAAGAUCUGGUUGUUUGAUAAGGGUCUGGCAUUUCCCCUUUGCUCUGUCUCUCCUCCUGCCAUGUAAGAUGUGCCUUGCUUCUCCUUCACCCUCUGUUAUGAUUCUAAGUUUCCUGAGGCCUCUCCAGCCAUGCAUAACUGUGAGUCAAUUAAACCUUCCUUUCUAAAUUACCUAGUCUCAGGUAGUUUCUUUACAGCAAUGUGAAAUUGGACUAACGUACUCAUGUUGAGAUGUAAUCCCCAAUGUUGGAGGUGGGGCCUGGUGGGAGGUGUUUGGGUCAUGGGGACAGAUUCAUCAUAACUUGAUGCUGUCCUCCUGAUAGACUGGGUUCUUAGGAGAUCUGUUGUUUGAAAGUGUGUGGCACCUCCCCUCACUUGCUCUCUUGCUCCCACCCUCUCCAUGUGAGAAGCCUGCUCCUGCUAUGCCUUCUGCCAUGUCUGGAAGCCUCCUGAGGCCUCCUCAAAAGCUGAGCAGAUGCCAGCACCACGUUCCCUGUAAAGCCUGCAGAACUCAGCCAAUUAAACCUCUUUUCUUUAUGAAUUACCCAGCCUCCCAUAUUUUUUUAUAGGAACAGAAAAACAGCCUAGCACAACACGUUUCUCUGCCCCCUGUAUUUCUGUAACUAUAGAGCUUCAGUCAGUUUCAGAAAGGAUUUAUUUGGCAAAAAUACUUGAAAUACAGAGCAAACAUCUGCCUUGGUGAAUUGCCACUAUUUCUUCUGUAACUACAUUUAUGUUCUAUUUGAAUUUCACUGUUAUCACUUUUUUUUCUGUUGCAGUUUUAGCCCUGUUGAUUAAUUUCCACUUUUGAUUAUUCCUUUUUGUAAAAUGUCACGUGGGCUUCUCGCUGGGAGACAAGGAGGCAAGACAAUAACAUGCUUUGCUCUCUGUAUGAACUCAGUAACAAAUAUGCAGUGAUUGGCAACAACAUACUUUGAAAGAAGUGAUGGGUCACUGAUCAUGAUUCAUCUGUUAUUUAGGCUGUGAUUUGUGGACUGAAGAACUAACAAGAAGUUUAUACUUUAUAUAAUUACAGGUAAAAUACCAUGAUAACUGAAAUUAGAACCAUGUUGGGGAACUCGUGUCAUUUAAUUCAAUCAUGCUUAUUGGAACUAGGUAGAGGGGCGAUGGCCUGUACCUCUUACCUUCCUGAUGUUUUCUUUUUUAUCUGCAAUAAACAUUUACAUCAUUCCUUGUAUAGACUGUGAAAUUGUCUAUCAAUUCUAGACAUGUAGUCUAGAAUCACUUUUUAUACUACAUUUUAUAAUUGAGCAUCACUGGUAUAUAGUAUAUAGGACAGUUUUUGGUUUCUAUAAUUAAAGGUUGACUUUAUUAAAGUAUUAAGUAGAUACACCAUCUGAGAAUUUAAAAGUCUGUCUUUUUCAUUCAAAUAGUUGUUCAUCCUAUUUUUUUUGUUGUUAUAUGUAUUGGCUAGAGACUUCAGGAUAAUGUCGAAUAAUAUUAAUGAUAAUAUUGACUUUAAUGGUGUAUUAGUCAUGUCUCUUAUUUUCUGAAUUCGAUGCUUUGACAUCCAGGGCUUUGUUGUCCAUGGAGGGACUGCCCCUCUCAGGAUAAGCUAAUUCCUGGACGUAAGCAACUUGCCUGCAUGUAUGUCUUCAUAUAUAAACCAACCAAUCCAGAGCUCAUACCCCGUUCUUUAUCCUUUCUUUAUCACCCUCUAUUCUUCUUUAUCUAUCUUUAUCCUUCUUUAUCACUCUCAUGUCCCAGGCCACUAUCCGCCUGCCCUAAUUGCCUCAGGGCCAGGUAGCAGACAACUAGGGACAGCCUCUCCUCCCCAAGAUACCACGAAAUUAUUCAAACUAGCCAAUCCUAAGACUGGUUGCCCUGCCUUGCUUGUUCCUUCCUGUGGAAAGUACAGUAAAGAGUCUUGCUCGUGCUUUCCCCCGUCCCCUCUACCUCCUGACUGACCUUGAUGUUUCCCUGUUUUGCCUCUUGUGGUGUGAGGUGCCUACAGCUCCUAGGGAACCCUGAGUAGCAAAAUAAAGUACUUCCCUCAUGACACUCAUUUCUGUGUUCAUGUGUCUUAUCAUACUGAUUAAAACAAAUCCUGGGUACCAUAAAAAUAAAUGACAUUUCUAUUCAUGCUUUGUUAUUAAAUAUGCCUUUUGCUGUAGGUUUCUAAUAACUUUUAUCAAUAUAGAAACAUCUUCCUCAAUUGCUAGUUUCUUAUGAAGUUUUAAAUUUUUUUUAACAAGGAGUGGUGUUGAAUUUUAUCAAGAGCCUUUUUGAUGUUUAUUGAAAUAGUUGUUUUUUCUCCUAUGAAUUUUUCUAAUAGAAACUAUACUGAUUGAACAAUAGGUUAAAAUUAAAGUUUCAUCAGACUCUCAAGAUAUAAUAGCUGUGAAAGUCUAAAUCACCAUAUGUAGGUUUUCAUAGCAAAUAUCUGAGAACCUGCUCCACAAGUAUUAAUUCUCCUCACCUGCUUUAACAAUAUGAAAGGAUGUGGAGUGGAGAACACUGCAGGGAGCUGUUGCCUUGCACUUUCCCCUACCUUACCUUUGAUAGUCUUAUGUAUGGGGAGGAAAAUAAUGCACAUCCUUAACCCUGGGUCUAGAGGAGGACUCUUCAGGAGGCCACCAGGAUAACUGACCAAAAAACUCCUGGAACUAAUAAGCAGUUAUAGCAAGGAUGCCGUAUACAGGAUUAGUAUAGAAAAAUCCAUUGCAGUUGCUCUCCUGCACACAAACAGUGAGCAAUUGGAAUUUGAAAUUAAAAACACAAUGCCAUUUAUGUAAACAUUCCCACCACCAGUGAAAUAAUUAGGUAUAAAUCUAACAAAAUAUAUAAAAGAUCUAUGAGGAAAACUACAAAAUUUUGAUUAAAGAAAUCAAAGAAGGACUAAAUAAAUAGAGAGAUAUUCCAUGUCCAUGGAUAGGGAGGCCUAGCAUUAACAAAAUGUCAGUUCUUCCCAACUUUCUCUCUAGAUUCAAUGCAAUCCCCAUCAAAAUCCCAGAAAUAUAUCACUUGGAUAUUGACAAAUUGAUUCCAAAGUUUCUAUGGAGAGGCUAAAACAAAAACAAAAACCAAAAAAAAACAAAAACAAAAACAAAAAAAACAAGAACAGAUAACGCAGUAUUAGAAAAGAAGAAAAUCAGGGGGGUAACACUACCCAAUUUCAAGAUUUGCAAGAAAGCUACAGCAAUGAAGACAGUGUGGUAGUGGCAAAAGAAUAGAUGAAUAGACCAAUGGAACAGAAUAGAAAAUCCCAAAAUAGACCUAUACAAAUAUUUGACAAAGGGGCAAAGGCAAUACAAUGAGGAAAAGAUAGUCUUUUCAACAAAUGGCACUGGAACAACUUAAUAUCCAUAAGCAAAAUCAAAAAUCUAGACACAGAUCUUACAUCUUCCCCCAAAUUUAGCUGAAAAUGGAUCAUAGACCUAAAUGUAACACACAAAAUUAUAAAAUUUCUAGAAUAUAGGAGAAAAGCUAGAUAACCUUG